AUUGAACGCUGGCGGCAGGCCUAACACAUGCAAGUCGAACGAGUGGCGGACGGGUGAGUAAUGUCUGGGAAACUGCCUGACGGAGGGGUAAAACUACGGGAAACGGUAGCUAAUACCGCAUAACAUCAGAUGUGCCGAGAUGGGAUUAGCUUGUUGGUGGGGGAACGGCUCACCGAGGCGACGAUCCCUAGCUGGUCUGAUAGGAUGACCCGCCACACUGGAACUGAGACACGGUCCAGACUCCUACGGGAGGCAGCAGUGGGGAAUAUUGCACAAUGGGCGCAAGCCUGAUGGAGCCAUGCCGCGUGUAUGAAGAAGGCCUUCGGGUUGUAAAGUACUUUCAGUGGGGAGGCGUUACCCGCAGAAGAAGCACCGGCUAACUCCGUGCCAGCAGCCGCGGUAAUAC
rnacentral:rRNA from 1 species